rnacentral:lncRNA from 1 species
AGGAUUUUGCUACUUGAUAAUGUGUGUGGGGUCUAGAAGUCAAGGAAGACUCUCUAGGUUCAGGUCUGUUUUGGAAGAGGAUGGAGUAUUGAUCAAAACAGGAAGGUCAGAAAAGAACCCCUCUGGGAAGAGUUGGUGCUGAAGAUGAGAUGGAGUAAGAGAGGCAUGUUGGGCUGUCAGUUUCACUCAGGACCCAUGGCAGAAUAUUGCUACCAACGAACCAUUACAAAAACAAGAAGAAUUGAAACAUUUUGGAGGCCGGAAACACCACAUUGAUAUUUCUCUCCAGUGUGAAAUAUUUUAACCUGAAAAACUUCUAGAUGCAAUUUUCAGAUAAAAUAGGCCUAUUCUAAUUAAUCCAGGACAAGAAGAAUCUUUCAAGUGUUGCUAACCAGAACUGAGCAGAUCCAAGUAGCAAUCGUAGCCAAGCCAUUAGUCCAUGUAUGGAGAGACCAGAGAGGGCAUCCCCACGUGGUGAUGCCU